ACUCCUACGGGAGGCAGCAGUGGGGAAUAUUGCACAAUGGGCGAAAGCCUGAUGCAGCGACGCCGCGUGGGGGAUGAAGGCCUUCGGGUUGUAAACCCCUUUAGUCAGGGAAGAAGCGAAAGUGACGGUACCUGCAGAAAAGCGACCGGCUAACUACGUGCCAGCAGCCGCGGUAAUACGUAGGGCGCAAGCGUUGUCCGGAAUUAUUGGGCGUAAAGAGCUCGUAGGCGGUUUGUCGCGUCUGCUGUGAAAUCCCGAGGCUCAACCUCGGGCCUGCAGUGGGUACGGGCAAACUAGAGUGUGGUAGGGGAGACUGGAAUUCCUGGUGUAGCGGUGGAAUGCGCAGAUAUCAGGAGGAACACCAAUGGCGAAGGCAGGUCUCUGGGCCACUACUGACGCUGAGGAGCGAAAGCGUGGGGAGCGAACAGGAUUAGAUACCCUGGUAGGCUCUGC
rnacentral:rRNA from 1 species